AUCUCAGGAGUGUUAGUCUUCAAGUUUAUUUUAUGUCUCCAGCUGCCGCUUGGAUGUCCUGCUACUUCAGAUAUUAAUAGAAGUAUUUCGUCAGCGCCCUCAAGCCGCUAGCAAGAAGCAAGCGAACUGUCUGGCUCGAUGCCGUUGCAAUCAAUUCCUGAAAGGUGCGGCUGUUCUGGGUGAAGCAGAGGUUAAAGCCAGAGCUGGUGAGAGCAGAGUCUGAGGUAAACGUGACGAGGAUGUAAUUGCUCAGGAUUGUGUACUCUGUGUCCGCAGCGAUGGAUCCGGAU